AUCGAUGGCCAAACCACUAUAAGCAUGCUCGAUCCUGUCUGAUCUUAGAAACUAAGCAGGGUCAGGUCUGCUUAGCAUGGAUGGGAGGACAAACAGCAAGGUAUCAUUGCAC
rnacentral:rRNA from 1 species